AUGGACGGGCUCCUGUCCAAGCUCCGGAGCCUGGACGCGUACCCCAAGGUGAACGAGGACUUCUACAGCCGCACCCUCUCCGGCGGCGCCAUCACGCUCGCCUCCUCCUUCAUCAUGCUCCUCCUCUUCGUCUCCGAGCUCCGAUUGUAUCUUCAUGCAGUUACAGAGACAACACUAAGGGUUGAUACCUCAAGAGGAGAAAAACUUCGCAUAAAUUUUGAUAUCACCUUUCCAGCCCUUCAGUGUUCUAUAAUUAGUGUUGAUGUGAUGGACAUCAGUGGACAAGAGCACCUUGAUGUGAAACAUGAUGUAUUCAAGCAGCGAAUCGAUGCACAUGGCAAUGUUAUUGCAACUAAGCAAGAUGCAGUUGGUGGGAUGAAGGUGGAAAAACCUUUACAACAUCAUGGUGGAAGGCUUGAACACAAUGAGACCUAUUGUGGCUCAUGUUAUGGUGCACAAGAAUCUCCUGAACAAUGUUGUAACUCGUGUGAAGAUGUCCGUGAAGCAUACAGAAAAAAAGGUUGGGGCGUAUCAAAUCCAGAUUCGAUCGAUCAGUGCAAAAGCGAGGGCUUCCUUCAAACAAUAAAGGAUGAAGAAGGUGAAGGAUGCAACAUUUAUGGCAUUCUGGAAAUUAACAAGGUUGCUGGGAAUUUCCACUUUGCUCCAGGGAAAAGCUUCCAGCAGUCAAAUGUUCAUGUUCACGAUCUGCUUCCAUUCCAAAAGGAUAGCUUCAAUCUCAGCCAUAAGAUAAAUAAAUUGAGUUUUGGAGAACCCUUUCCUGGUGUGAUCAAUCCCCUUGAUGGGGCGCAAUGGAUCCAGCAUUCAUCAUAUGGAAUGGCUCAAUACUUUGUUAAGGUUGUUCCCACUGUAUACUCUCACCUAAAUGAGCAAAUUAUUCUCUCCAAUCAGUUUUCUGUGACAGAACAUUACAGAAGUGGCGAUAGUGGUCGGGUACAAGCUCUUCCUGGCGUGUUUUUCUUUUAUGACCUUUCACCAAUUAAGGUCACGUUCACGGAGCGCCAUGUGUCAUUCUUACACUUCUUAACUAAUGUAUGCGCUAUUGUUGGAGGUGUGUUCACUGUUUCUGGAAUCAUAGAUUCGUUUGUCUACCAUGGCCAGAGGGCAAUCACCAAGAAGAGGGAACUCGGCAAAUUCACCUGA
rnacentral:rRNA from 1 species